UCACCGUACGGCCUUCAACAAUGAGCAAAGCCCAUACCGCAUAGUCAGCUAUAAAAGGCCCCGAUAAGACAAUGUAAAACAAUUCAAACGAGAAAACUAACGGCCUUAUUUAUGUAAAAAAAAAAAAGAACGAAAAACAAAUAUGUAACACAUAAACAAACGACAACCACUGAAUUACAGGCUCCUGACUUAGGACAGGCACAUACAUAAAUAAUGUGGCGGGGUUAAACAUGUUAGCGGGACCCCAACCAUCCCCUAACCUGGGACAAUGGUAUAACAGUACAACAUAAGAACAAACUAUAAAAAUCAAUUGAAAAUGGCUUAACUCAUCAGAUGGACAAAUAUACAAGUGGACGUGGCCCGGUACUUAUACAUCCCGAC
rnacentral:lncRNA from 1 species